rnacentral:rRNA from 1 species
AACGCUAGCUACAGGCUUAACACAUGCAAGUCGAGGGGUAACAGGGUGCUUGCACCGCUGACGACCGGCGCACGGGUGCGUAACGCGUAUACAAUCUACCUUUUACAGAGAGAUACCCCAGAGAAAUUUGGAAUAAUACCUCAUAAUAUUUUUGCUCGGCAUCGAGUGACAAUUAAAGUUUCGGCGGUAAAAGAUGAGUAUGCGUCCUAUUAGCUAGUUGGUAAGGUAACGGCUUACCAAGGCGACGAUAGGUAGGGGUCCUGAGAGGGAGAUCCCCCACACUGGUACUGAGACACGGACCAGACUCCUACGGGAGGCAGCAGUGAGGAAUAUUGGUCAAUGGGCGAAAGCCUGAACCAGCCAAGUAGCGU